UGGAAAAAUUUACAAAAAGCAGCGGAUUGGUUUUAGUGGUACUUUUAACGAUAUAGACCUCAACAAAUUCAAUUCCUUAUGAAUACAGAUGUGAUUAUGAGUUCUUCGAAUAUCCUAAUUGUACUACAAGCCAUUACCAGCUCACCACGAAUCAAACAAUAACGGCUAACAGUCCGGGUUUUCCACCCUAUGGAUUUCCAGUGCCAAGUAAAUGUCAUUUUACUGUAGCAGCACCAAUUUCUCAUUUUUUGGCCGUUACAUGUGACAUUUUUAUUGGGGUAAAAGAAAAAUUCAAAUAACUUGUUGACACAAAUAUAAUUUUAUACUACCGAAAAUGUAUGGGUCACGUCAUUUGACUGUGAUCCAGAUGACAGCUUCUUCAUUAAUUCCGCUGGAAUAUAUCCGGAAUGUAUACGUCGUAAAUAUUGUGGCUUAAAUGAAGUAAUAUCAUUUAACACGACGUAUAAUAACAUGACUAUUGCAUAUAGAUCAACUAAAUACUCUGGAUUUUACUCAUGUAAUAUCACGGCAAUGCCGAAAGCUACACCGAAAGGGUCCGACAGUCAAGUUUAACAGAGCUCAAAUCGUACUUUAAUUUAAUAUAGAUAUAUUCAAGUGACACAAAAAAAAAGAAUAUGGUAUCGAGAUGGCCCAGUAUUUCAGAAAAUUUUAAAAGUGCUCCAAAUUCGUUAAUCGAGAAAACUUGGAAUUCUUUCGGCGGGUACCACCGAUCGACUUAAGGAUGAAACAAAAUCGACAAACAUGUUAUUUUUCAUGCAUUUCACCGAACCGGAUGGGGAAUCUCGAUACCAUAAACACUCUUUAAUGUAACAAAUAAUAAA